AAUUCGUUUUCUGCUGAAUUUCUGAAUGUAUAGAAGGAUUUCAUGUCUGCAGAUAAUGUAUUACAAGAGGCUGUUGUGUGCCAGUGGACAAGCUGGUGAGAAGCUGAACACUAAUAGCUUGAAUCCUGGUGAAUGGACUGCCUGCAUAAGCGUCGUCAUGAUUUUUCCACGUGUAAUAUGAAUGCAAGCCAGUUUGCCUUAAAGCAUCCCUUCUUGGAAAAUAUCUUCUAGUGUUUCAUCACAAAAAUCAGUCAAAAACUGUUUCUCAUGAUUUGAAAAAUACGUAUAAAGGAAGUCAAAUUUAAUUGAUAAAUUGUGCAUGCUGAGAUUGUAUACUAUAUCAUAUACAUUUUUAAUAUAUUUUCUGUAUCUCUAAUGUUGAGAAUUUUGAUGUUUUAAUUUAACCCUGAAUAAAAUGUUAAGUACUAUAAGCAAAGUAAGCAGUAUUGUAUUUGAUGUCAGAACAAUAUUUUUUUUUUUUUUAUUUUAUACUUGUAUAUUUUUGCUUAUGAUUGGAAUUUUAGUACAAAUUAUUUUGGCAUGAUGUGGCCUGUUCUCAUUUAAAAUGCAUUUUGUAUUUUUUUCUUCUGUUAUUUGCAUUAUAAUAGUUUGGCCAUAACAACUAUGGAUGCCAAAUCAACAUGUAUGGGAAUAACUGUAUUAAAUUUUGAGAAAACCU